AUUGAACGCUUGCGGCAGGCCUAACACAUGCAAGUCGAGCGAGCGGCGGACGGGUGAGUAAUGUCUGGGGAUCUGCCCGAUAGAGGUGGAUAACUCCUGGAAACGGUUGAUAAUACCGCAUACUAUCGGAUUAACCCCUAUGGGAUUAGCUAGUAGUUGGGGUAAAGGCUCACCUAGGCGACGAUCCCUAGCUGGUCUGAGAGGAUGAUCAGCAACACUGGGACUGAGACACGGCCCAGAGUCCUACGGGAGGCAGCAGGGGGGAAUAUUGCACAAUGGGCGCAAGCCUGAUGCAGCCAUGCCGCGUGUAUGAAGAAGGCCUUAGGGUUGUAAAGUACUUUCAGCGGGGAGGCGUUACCCGAAGAAGAAGCACCGGCUAACUCCGUGCCAGCCGCCGCGGUAAUAC
rnacentral:rRNA from 1 species